rnacentral:rRNA from 1 species
AGCGUUGUUCGGAAUUACUGGGCGUAAAGCGCGCGUAGGCGGUUUUGUAAGGUAGAGGGGAAAGCCCGGAGCUCAACUCCGGAACUGCCUUUAAAACUGUAUCGCUUGAAUCCAGGAGAGGUGAGUGGAAUUCCGAGUGUAGAGGUGAAAUUCGUAGAUAUUCGGAAGAACACCAGUGGCGAAGGCGGCUCACUGGACUGGUAUUGACGCUGAGGUGCGAAAGCGUGGGGAGCAAACAGG